rnacentral:misc_RNA from 1 species
CCGCUUAAGUCGUGGGGGUGGAUCUCGCGGCGUAGGCGAUCCGAUCUACAUUUAUAAAGUUUAUGUCGCGGACGGACGGGAGGAACAAGUGCGUGGCUGCGAAUUUCGUUCUCUUGAUGAACGGAACUUGCGCAGGAUCCUCGCGGCCGGGAACGUGCUGGUGGUGGACAACAACGCCAUGAGCUUCACCCCAUCCUCUUCAGUCGUCGCGCCUGCGGUAUUGUUCGAAGAAAUGGAAUUAUCGCAGAUCGAUCGGGAAUCGGAGAAGAAGCCAAUCAUCGAUGCGCCUCAUGCCCGGGCGAUAAAGUCCGAGCCGUAACGAUUCUCGGGUUCAAAGUGAUUUGACCUCGAUCCAUGUCUGGAGCUGUUUACCAUUGCCACAACGGACAGUGAUUUGGUGCCGGCCUUCACUCAGGUAGGCCACGGAUUGGUUGCCCUCACGUUGGCAGGACAGCGUGGAACUUUCCCAGAUCGGUGUGUCCGGGCCUUCCGCACGAAGCAGGACGCGCCGCCCGCCGCCAGCCAGAUCCGCAUCCAGGAAGAACACGGUCCCGGGCAAGGGCGACACGAGUCGUAAGGCGGGCUCCUGCGACUUUAUCGCCACGCGAUCGCCCAGCCAGUUAUCGCCCGUCGAUGACCAAUCCCUGUAUUCUGCCGGGAGGAGAAUUCGAUUCUGCUCGUCGUAAUCCGCGGUGGUUUCUGAAUCCGGCAGGAAGCGAGGGGAAAACAGUUCGGUUACUGCCCCCCUGGCAGCGUCCGGUAAUUGAUGACCGGUGACGGGAUGAAUCUUCAAUCGGACCAGUUCGGGUGGGGUUUCAUACCAAGCGGUGCCGAAUCGUUCAUGCAGAUGUUGGAAGAUCGAAUGCAGGAUGGGAGCCGCACCCGAGACCCCUGAGACCCUGUCCAUGGGCGAGCCGU